rnacentral:lncRNA from 7 species
AACAAAAAGCGCAAAAAUAAAGCAUGGUUUUUUGCUUAAGAAAAUAGCAUGAAACUAUUUUGUCGGCAGGGCGAUGGCCUGCUAGACGAAAGCCAGGUCGAGGCGUUGCGCAGGAAGGGAAUGGCGACGCCUCAGCGCCAACACAAUGACCUCGCCGUGGGCGGCGCUAACAAUGCAACGACGACGCGCUCCCACGAGCGUGGCCUGUGAGGGGCAUGGCGACGUCUAGGCUUUCCCACUCACUUCUCCCAUGUUGCAGACAGCUUACCGCUGAGCCUGAGAACGAAGGGGCGCCUAGGAGAGGGAGGGGACUAGGGAAGAGUAUGGGGGGAGACUAGGGAGAGGGAGGGCAAACAGCAAAGCACGCCACCCGCUUGGUUUUGCUAUAUAUAGUCCUCAACCUCGUCCUUUGUCGCGACCUCCCUCUCCGUAUGUGUUUUGUUGCUCGCAACUCCGCACGCAGUGUGUCGCUCUGGCUAGCUUUCAUUUGCUCAGACUUUUUGUUUGCUUGUCUUUUGUCGGUUCGGGAAAUCUGCGACGGCAGGGACUUGCGUUUACCACUUUCCCUGUAAAGAAGAACAAAUGAAAAUAAAUAUCUGUUGGAAACUUACAGCCAGAUCUGGUGUUGAGAACAGUCGAAUCCCAUAUGCUGGAGAUGAGAGUGAUCCAAGCACAGCCUGGUGCGCCCACGAACAGAAGUCAAUCAUGGCCUUCCAAAUGUAGCUUCAACGACUCCUAGGACCCUUAGGACUAUAAAAGGGAUCCCUAGUC